rfam:Capsicum annuum cultivar Zunla-1 chromosome 2, whole genome shotgun sequence
UACCGUCCAGUCGUCAUAUGCUUGUCUCAAAGAUUAAGCCAUGCAUGUGUAAGUAUGCACAAAUUCAGACUAUGAAACUGUGAAUGGCUCAUUAAAUCAGUUAUAGUUUGUUUGAUGGUAUCUAUUACUCGGAUAACCAUAGUAAUUCUAGAGCUAAUACAUGCAACAAACCCCGACUUCUGGAAAGGAUGCAUUUAUUAGAUAAAAAUUCGAUACGGUCUCUACCCAUUCCUGCGAUGAUUCAUGAUAACUCGAUGCAUCACACCACCAUCGUGAUGGCGAUGCAUCAUUCAAAUUUCUACCCUAUAAACUUUUGAUGGUAGGAUAGUGGUCUACCAUGGUGGUGACGGGUGAUGGAGAAUUAGGGUUUAAUUUUUUAGAAGGAGCCUGAGAAAUGGCUACCACAUCUAAGGAAGGCAGUAGGCACACAAAUUACCAAAUCAAGACAUGGGGAGGUAGUGACAAUAAAUAAGAAUACCGAGCUCAAUGACUGUGGUAAUUGGAAUGAGUACUAUCUAAAUCCCUUAAUGAGGAUCCAUUGGAGGGCAAGCCUGGUGCCAUCAACCGAGGUAAUUCCAGCUCUAAUAGUGUAUAUUUAAGUUAUUAUAGUUAAAAAGAUUAUAGUUUGACUUUGGGAUAGGUCGUCCGGUCCGUCUAUGGUAUGCUCUGGUCAUCUCAUCCCUUCUGUCGAUGAUGCACUCAUGGCCUUAACUGGCCAAGUCGUGCAUCCAGCCCUGUUACAUUGAAAAAAUUAGAGUGCUCAAAGCAAGCCUACACUCUGUAUACAUUAGCAUGGGAUAAUAUUAUAGGAUUUUGGUCCUAUUGUGUUGGCUUUCGGGAUCGAAGUAAUGAUUAACAGGGAUAGUUAGGGGCAUUCGUAUUUCAUAGUCAGAGGUGAAAUUCUUAGAUUUAUGAAAGAUAAACAACUGUGAAAGCAUUUGCCAAGGAUUUUUUCAUUAAUCAAGAAUGAAAGUUUGGGGCUCGAACACGAUCAGAUACUGUCCUAGUCUCAACCAUAAACAAUACUGACUAGGGAUCGAUGGAUGAUGCUUUUAGGACUCCGCUAGCACCUUAUUGGAAAUCAAAGGUUUUGGGUUUUGGGGGAAGUAUGGUUGCAAGGAUGAAAUUUAAAGCAAUUGACGGAAGGGAACCACCAAGAGUAGAGCCUGCGGCUUAAUUUGACUCAACACGGAGAAAUUUACCGGGUCUAGACAUAGUAAGGAUUGACAGAAUGAGAGCUCUUUCUUGAUUCUAUGGGUGGUGGUGCAUGACCGUUCUUAGUUGGGGGAGAGAUUUGUCUAGUUAAUUACGUUAACGAAUGCUAACUCAACCUACUAACUAGCUAUGCAGAGGUAUCCCUUUGCGUCCAGCUUCUUAGAGAGACUAUGACCUUUUAGGCCAUAGAAUUUUGAGGCAAUAAUAGGUUUGUGAUGCCCUUAGAUGUUCUGAGCUGCACGCACGCUACACUGAUAUGUUUAACGAGUUUAUAGCCUUAGCUUAUAGGCCUGGGUAAUCUUUGAAAUUUUAUCAUAAUGGGAUAGAUCAUUGCAAAUAUUAGUCUUUUAAAAAGAAUUCCUAGUAAGCGCGACUCAUCAGCUCACGUUGACUAUGUCCCUGCCCUUUGCAAACACCACCCAUUACUCUUACCGAUUGAAUGACACGGUGAAAUAUUUGGAUAAUAGCGAUGUGGCCAGUUCUCUGCCCGUGACGUUGCAAAAAGUCUAUUGAACCUUAUCAUUUUUAGAAAAAAGAAAUGGUAACAAGAUUUCUAUAGGUGAACCUAUGUAAGGAUUAUUG